UGGAUGGUCACGAUCUGCAGCAGACAGGAAACAUUGGGAAUAAAUCAAUGUAAUUUUCCUCUGCUUCAUUAGAGAAACGUGAGUUUAAGGCCAGAUGAUCUUCCGCUGAUUGUUCAUCACCACCUGCAGGGAUGGCAGGCACAGAGCUGCAUUACAGGGGAAAGAAGGCAUGCUGCUGAUGAGGCUCCCAACACUCCGGAACUCCGCGGGAUGAACGUACCAUCUGGUGCCUCACUCAGGGCUUUACCCGACAUCUCCCGCUCGCCCACCAGCCACACGUAGCCCGA